UACGAAGGGGGCGAGCGUUGUUCGGAUUUACUGGGCGUAAAGGGCGCGUAGGCGGCGCGAGAAGUCGAGUGUGAAAGCCCCGGGCUCAACUCCGGAAUUGCCUUUAAGACUGCAUCGCUAGAAUUGUGGAGAGGUAAGUGGAAUUCCGAGUGUAGAGGUGAAAUUCGUAGAUAUUCGGAAGAACACCAGUGGCGAAGGCGACUUACUGGACACAUAUUGACGCUGAGGUGCGAAAGCGUGGGGAGCAAACAGG
rnacentral:rRNA from 1 species